UGUUGUUGUUGUUGUUGUUGUUGUUUUAUGUUUUUUGUGUUUUUCUACUGUAAACUGGUAUGUAACAACAACAACAACAACAACAACA